ensembl:snRNA U1 U1 spliceosomal RNA
AUACUUACCUGGCAGCAGAGAUACCAUGAUCACAGGGCGAGGCUUAUCCAUUGCACUCUGGAUGUGCUAGCCCCUGAGAUUUCCCCAAAUGUGGGAAACCCGACUGCAUAAUUUGUGGCAGCGGGGGACUGCAUUCGUGCUCUCCCCUG